GUACCUACGGGACGCAGCAGUGAGGAAUAUUGGUCAAUGGACGCAAGUCUGAACCAGCCAUGCCGCGUGCAGGAAGACGGCUCUAUGAGUUGUAAACUGCUUUUGUACGAGGGUAAAUCCCGAUACGUGUAUCGGGUUGAAAGUAUCGUACGAAUAAGGAUCGGCUAACCCCGUGCCAGCAGCCGCGGUAAUACGGAGGAUUCAAGCGUUAUCCGGAUUUAUUGGGUUUAAAGGGUGCGUAGGCGGCUCGCUAAGAUAGAGGUGAAAUACCG
rnacentral:rRNA from 1 species